rnacentral:rRNA from 1 species
UACAGAGGCCUCGAGCGUUAGGCGGAAUCACUGGGGCUUAAAGCGUGUGUAGGCGGACUUCUAAGUACCUUGUGAAAUCCCACGGCUCACCCGUGGAACUGCUUGGUAUACUGGUUGUCUUGAGCCUUCUAGGGGCGAGUGGAACAAAUGGUGGAGCGGGUGAAAUGCGUAGAUAUCAUUGGAACGCCAAUGGUGAAAACAACUCGCUGGGGAAGUGCUGACGCUGAGACACGAAAGCCAGGGGAGGCGAACGGGG